rnacentral:piRNA from 1 species
CCUGGAACUCAGAGAUCUGCUCAACUCUGC